AGCAGAAGAUGGGUGGAGAUGGGGCAGAACAUUUACUACUAACUUGUGCUCCAAAUGCGAGGAUUGCCAUGUUCCAUGUGCUUCCAGGCAAGACCAUAGCACUGCCAGGGUGCACCUCCCAGAGCUGUGCUUUCCCGCAGGCACUGGUGACCCCAUGUUCCUCCACUACUACUCCUGCCAUGGGGCAGCCACCCUGGGUGCUCCACUUCCUCCCUGAUGCCCCCAAGCCUUCUGAUGUCACUAACAGUUUUGGGACAACCUACACUCUCCCUGCACGAAUCACCAUUUACUUCUGAGACCCUGACCAGGACAGAUACUCCCACUAGUGCCUGACUCAGGGCGGCAAAGAGGGUACAGAAAGCAAAGUCAAGAGUUUGUCACCAGAGCUGGAAGAACAACAGCUUCACGCCCAUUUGGAUGAAGACCAUUUCCAUUGUACAUUUGCCUCAGCAUCAUCUUACCCCGGGGACGUCUGGAGCCUGCGAGGUGUGCAGAUGCUCAUCCUGGAGAGGGGCACCAGUUACUGUGGACAAUGUGGCCUCAGCAGUGUUCCCGCGGUCUCCCUCAAUCUUUGUUAAUCUGCAAGGUAGACACCACAGCCCCUGCAGUAAAUAUCUUAAGGA